CAUCGUUCUCGUUCCCGCUUCCUCCAUCUGCUAUUUCCCGCUCACUCUAUCCAAUCCGGACAACGAAGUCAACCAUAGCAAUCUGCGAAGUCGACCAUAGCAAUCUGCGAAGUCGACAUCUGCUAGUUCAGCUCCACCUCUUUCCUAUUUUUAUUCCUCUUUCUGCACAUUCAAUCCGUCGCUCAGACCCUAAACUCUAAUACCCAGAAAUCAAUCAGAUCUGUCUGUCUCUCGCUUUGUGGACUGCAUAUAUCUUGUCGAUCUCCACUCUCAAAACAGAGAUUGUUAACUGUUGAAGAAUUGGCUUUGUACAAUGGGACUGAUCAAAGUUUGCCCUCUUGUUAGGAAUUCUGGGAGUUGAAACACUGAGGUACAAAAGAGGGGACGGCAAAUCAAUCUGUGUUUGUUUUGGAAAAGGGCUUCUGCUAUAUUUGUUGGUGUAUAUGAACCUACGAAGCAGAAAUUGCUGAAGUCACUCCCAUAAAAUUUCAGUGCUUUAGUUCAUUUGGUAUGUUACGUAAUUUUCCAUAUAUGAUUUUGUGUCAUCAUAUUUGAGGAAGGUUUAUUAGAUAGCUACAAUAUCUAUCACAGACACGUAUUAUUAAUUUUUUGUUUGUAUAGUAAUAAUAGUAAUAAUAAUUGCUUAAGUAGACUGAUGGUUUGGUAGUAGAACUAUCUUGCGUCACUUAACAUCCACUUCUCAUUGUAAUAGUGAUGGGUAAUAGUAGGGAAUAGUAUAACUUUCAGUGUACAAGAUCAGGCCAUUGUUAUUUUAACAGGUAUUCAGACAUCAAUCAGACUGCAGGUGCUAUUGGAGGUGCUGCUUCUUCUAUUGUACGAGUGCCAACAGAGCUAUACUCAAAACACUGAAUCUGUUUUUGUCAUCAGAACUAACCAACUCGCAAAUCUGAUAUAAAGAGCAUAAAGGUGAGGCUAGGGGCGAUUAAGAAGAAGAGGAACGCUGCUGAACUAUCUGAAGAAUAAUGUUGUUGAUCUUCUCAAGAUUGGCCUUGAUAUUAAUGUAUAUGGAAGGGUUCUCACCCAAAAAAUAAAGAACCUCAUUUUUGUGCUGCUGUGGGUGGAGCUGGGAGCAGCACAGCAGGUCGAAAAGGCAUGGCUGAUGCUGUAGCAGAUAUGACAAAAAGAUCAGCAUACUUUCAACAAAUUGAAGAUGUUCUGAAAUAUUCAAAGGCUUUAACAGCUAUGAGAACUACCGUGAGUUUUUUCCAAACAAAAGACAUGAAUGAGCUGCUAGACUUCCACAAGAAAUUAGAAUCCAUUCUUGAACACUUGACUGAUGAGACACAGGUCUUAUCAAGGUUUGAAGGAUUCCCUACAAAGAAGUUAAAAACAAUGAGGACAGCAGCAACACUCCACUCAUAGUUAAAUGCAUUGAUCACAGAACUACACAAUUGGAAAAUAGGAAGAGCGGUUGAAGUGGAUGAUUGUUGUGGAGAUUAUGGAUGAAUCUCCAGCCCAUUUGCUUGGUUCUACAAAG